rnacentral:lncRNA from 1 species
CGUGUCAUCAUCCAUCAUAUAGUAAUGGCAAUAUAUCGGGUUAUUCAAUACUCUGUGUUCUUUGCAUAGAAAUAGUUCUUCGUUAAUCUGAGCAUUGAAAGAAUACUUCAUAUCACAAACUAUAAAUAUGGAUACAAAAAACAAUGAAAUCUAAGCGAUAUUGAUAACACCGCAAAUAGAUAUAAGAAGAUGUGGUGUGAGUGCCA